GGCAUAAAUAUGAGGAGUCACACAGGUUACAAUCCCUCAGUCAUCCAUCAACAUGGGAAAGGCCAAAGAACACACAAAUUAUAUUAAACAAAAAAGGUUGUUGAUCUUCACAAAUCAUCAAAAGGCAAUAAAAGUAUAAAAAUGCACAUCUCCACUAUUAGGGAAACUAUUAAGAAAUGUUAAACAACUGGAGCUGUGAUGAACCUGCCUGGAAGAAGACUUAACCCAUGAACACACAAAGUCAGGGCAACUGUUCAAGUGUAAAGAUUUUUUCCAAGGAUCACAGUUGGUGAAUUGCAGAAGUUGUUUAUAUUUUGGGUUCACAGGCUCCUAAAUUACGAUUAGAAGUCACCUCAGUGCCAUUUUGUCAACCGUGGUUUGCCGGUGUUCAGGUUAGCCACUCGGCUUCCUUCGGUCGUAUAAUCAAGACAAUUCUUCGGCUAUAUUGUCAUGAAAACGUGGAACUGUUCCUGACGCCACCACUAGAGAGUGCUUUAGGUCGACCACACAAAAGUUAGUAAACAUACGAACAAAUAAUCUGCGUCAUAACAACUGUAUAGAACUGGAAGCCACGAUGGAUCUGGCACUUUUACGAAGAACGGCACAGAAGAAAGGGACAACUAGACUAUUGUUAAGAGGUUAUCAUACGUAUUCAUCUCUUCAGAGAGUAUGAGUACGCAGUAGUAUAAUACAGUAGCCUACUAAUCUGGAAUAAUAAAUAUAACCUAUUACUUCCAAUUUAACAAAUGUAAAUAUAUGUUGUCUAUGUACGUUUCUAAUUAUUCAUGUCUAGAUGGUGUACAAUAUUAUUAAUAGUAAACGCCUUGCAUGUAAAAUACAUCUGAAUUUAAAUUGUUCACAUUCUUCAAGUUACAUGCACAUAACUCAAUGAUAGGAACAUCGGCUUAUUUAUGUCGUUAGGUGUUCACCGUUACAGGCCGCUUUUAAGAGGAUGGAGUCACAACUCGCCAGCACAGCAAUUAUUGUAUUAAUCAGGUCUUUUUUCUGUCACUCAUUUGAAUGGAAAUGUUUUUGUGUAAUAAAGAGUUCGAAGUGUU
ensembl:lncRNA